rnacentral:rRNA from 1 species
UACGUAGGUGGCGAGCGUUGUCCGGAUUUACUGGGCGUAAAGGGCUCGUAGGCGGCCAACUAAGUCAUACGUGAAAUCCCUCGGCUUAACCGGGGAACUGCGUCUGAUACUGGAUGGCUUGAGUUUGGGAGAGGGACGCGGAAUUCCAGGUGUAGCGGUGAAAUGCGUAGAUAUCUGGAGGAACACCGGUGGCGAAGGCGACAUCCUGGACCGGUAUUGACGCUGAGGCGCGAAAGCCAGGGGAGCAAACGGG